CCUUGUUGCACUGUUUGUCGUCCUACUUCUUGGAGCUUGUUCCAGUGUGUCACUUUUACCGUGUGAGGUUGUGUUAAAGACUGCAGCGAGUUUAUGUUGUGUAGUGUCUUUUGGUCACAACUUUCCUUGGUGGUGACGUUGGUGUGUACAUUGACCUUGGUGCUUGCCGUGGGCUCUUUGCCAUUGCUGCUUGGAGCUUGUUCCAGUGUGUCACUUUUACCAUGUAAGGUUGUGUCAAAGACUGCAGCGAGUUUAUGUUGUGUAGUGUCUUUUGGUCACAACUUUCCUCGAUGGUGACGUUGGUGUGAUGCUCACCUUUGUAAUACGGCUUUGUAACCAAAUCAUUCCUUUUAAAGAAAUAAAGUAUUCAUAUUCUGAACUUGCUUUUUAUUCUUCAAAGUGUUUUUUUUCGUUGGUGAUGUGACUGUACUUGAAGUUUUGAAGUUUCAAGUUGCGUACAUACCCUCAGUUGAGGAGGGAUCAAGUCAUAACGUAGUUCAAAUGAGCGAUGAAUUUAACAAUGAUUUUGAUGAUGAUUUUGAC
rnacentral:lncRNA from 1 species